rnacentral:rRNA from 1 species
GAGGGGCCCGCGGCCCAUUAGCUAGUUGGGGGGGUAAUGGCCCACCAAGGCGAUGAUGGGUAGCCGGUCUGAGAGGAUGGCCGGCCACACGGGGACUGAGAGACGGCCCCGACUCCUACGGGAGGCAGCAGUGGGGAAUCUUCCGCAAUGGGCGCAAGCCUGACGGAGCAACGCCGCGUGGGGGACGAAGGCCUUCGGGUCGUAAACCCCUGUCAGCGGGAAAGAAGGCUUGGGGGGUGAAUAGCCUUUCGGGCUGACGGUACUCGCAGAGGAAGCCACGGCCAACUCCGUGCCAGCAGCCGCGGUAAUACGGAGGUGGCGAGCGUUGUUCGGAAUCACUGGGCGUAAAGGGCGCGUAGGCGGGCGGAGAAGUCGCGUGUGAAAGCCCCGGGCUCAACCCGGGAACGGCGCGCGAGACUCUUCGUCUUGAGUCCCGGAGAGGCGGGUGGAAUUCCUGGUGUAGCGGUGAAAUGUGUAGAGAUCAGGAGG